rnacentral:lncRNA from 1 species
AGGACUGAACUUGUGAUAAGAUUAGGUUCAUCUAUGUCUCUCCGAUUCUCCAUGUCUUCUCCCUGAGUAAGUAUCUUUCUGAGCUCUUCUUUCUUUUUUUCUUUUUUUUUCAAGUUAAAAAAUUCUACAUAUAUAGUUAUGUCCAGUGGAUAUAGUCUCGCAUAAAUAUGAAUUAUGCUGAGCACAUCAGAGACGUUUAUUGCUUGCACCCUAUGCAUAUGAACCCAACAUAUUUGGGAUUGAUCGAGUGGACCUCUGAUGCACCCAGUUUAUACAAAAGGUUGAUAAGCUAUUUGGUUCUCUGGGCUGCUGAGACAUUAAGAAAGGUUUACAUACUUAGAUAUGUUUCGUCAAUAUAAUCUUGCAUAAAAAUGAAUUUGAGCACAUCAGAAAUGUUAUUUGCAUGCACCCGUUGCAUUUGAGCCCUACACAUCUGGGACUGAUCAAGUGGACCUCCAACACAUGCCGGGUUAUGAAAAAUCUUGAUCAACCAUUUGGUUGUCUGGCCUGCUGAGACAUUAAGAAAGGUCUACAUACCUAGUUAUGUUUUGUCAAUAUAGUCCCACAUAAAUAUGAAUUCUGCUAAGCACAUCAGAGAUGUUAUUUGCAUGUGCCCCAUGCAUAUGAGCCCAACAUAUUUGGGAUUGAUCAAGUGGACCUCUAUCUUGCUCCAGGUUCAUAUAAUAACUUGACUAGCCAUUUGGUUCUCUGGGCUGCUAAGACAAUGAGAAAGGGACA